CUGCUUGCCUUUUUGCAGGCAACCAAGAAGCAAGGCUAGUGAACCCCUUUAGUGCAGCCUCAGCAAACAUGAAUUUGAUUAUAGAAACAUGAGAAGUCCACAGGGCUCUGUAGUAUUGUCUCCCCUGGCUGUGUCUAAGACAGGCACAGAGAAGAACUUGCACUUCUUCCCUGUAAAACCCUUUCAAAUUAUACAGUGGUUAGCUGAAAUACCUAAAUAGCCUUUGGCACAAGGACAAGAACCAGGACUCACAUGAAUCUCAUUGUUGUUUCUUCUUCGUGCUAUUAUGUCCUGGAUUUUGAAAACUGAAUAUGGGCCAUCUUUAUCUUUCCUCCUCUGGCCUUUGGCAUUUUCCCAUUCACAGUGCUCCAGUGGGUGACAAAGGCCACACUUCUGACAGGACUGCCCUAUGGGGUCAGGAUGGUGCAACGAGGCAGUAAGCCCUGUUGCAUGACUCCAGCUGAUUACACGACACAGGUCUGAAAACUUACUGCAGCUUGCCAUGGUCUUCUGUGCAUCAGUGGGACACUUACAGAGGGACAAUGAACCCAGAUGUCUCAACAUUCAAAAGCCAACCUGCACUCUCCUCUUUAUAGUGGUUUCCAGGAGACAGAUACUGCCAGAGUACUCGUGUGUUUUCCUGGUUAUGACUUCAUCCCAUCCUUCUUCAGACAGAAGAGAAAGGCCAGCAUCUUUGUCUUGAUAACUCUUCUUACCUGGAAAGAGCCAAGGCAGACUGAGUGAUUUCUACUGCCCCUCUACCAAAACAGUAGCUUUUACUGAGUCUAAAUAAACUGUCAUGAUGAAGGCCAAUGCAGAUUAUUGUAUUCUUUGUUAUCACACAGUUUAUUAAAGGACCACUGCACUGCAAUUAUGGAAUGAGUAAAUCUGUGGGCAGCCAUCUGGGAUGCUUGAGAUGAGUCUCCAGUGCUCUUGCUGUGCCCAGGCCUGAGCCAAAUGUCACUGACAGCCAACAGGAGCAGCUACUUCAGUGGAAUAAAGAUUGCUUUAAUCAGG